rnacentral:rRNA from 1 species
CCCUUAGAUGUUCUGGGCCGCACGCGCGCUACACUGACGAAGUCAGCGAGCAUGUCCUACGCCGACAGGUGCGGGGAAUCUUGUCAAACUUCGUCGUGAUGGGGAUUGAUUAUUGAAAUUCUUGAUCAUCAACGAGGAAUUCCUAGUAAGCGCAAGUCAGCAGCUUGCGUUGAUUACGUCCCUGCCCUUUGUACACACCGCCCGUCGCUACUACCGAUUGAAUGGUUUAGUGAGAUCUUCGGAUUGGCGUCACUGCGGCUCAGCAAUGGGCUCGGUGGAUGCCGAAAAGUUGAUCAAACUUGAUCAUUUAGAGGAAGUAAAAGUCGUAACA